ACAUUUAAGGUGGUACCCAACACUUUCACUAAAAUUAAUUUGGCUCGUUUAAUUUUCAUAAAAUUUUGACAAGUAUUUACUUUGACCCUUUGACAAAAAUAUAAAAAUUUUAAAAAUUUUGAACCAACCGUUUUGUCAGGAAAAUUACACUGGUUAUAUAGCAAUUUGACAAACACCAAUUUUGAUCAUUGAGAAGCUUAAUACUCCUUUUACAACACAACGUAAUUAAAACGUUUAGCUGACUUUAUAGAGUUAU
rnacentral:lncRNA from 1 species